rnacentral:lncRNA from 1 species
AAAAAUUACCCAUGGACUCUUUAAUAAUAAGGAAAAUAAGUGCAUUUGAAGCCAGUCUCUCUUACUUCAGAGGUCAUUUCUAUAAUCACCCGUUUGGAGCAGCAGUGCCCGACAUCGGCAUCUGGGAUCCUGACACGAUUGAUAGAACCGAAUCAAGCAAGACAAUACCACCCCACUUUUAUUCGCUGUGAUUUGCAAGAAAGAGAAAAUGGUGGAAUUUUUAUUGAAAAAGCAAAUACACAUGCCGUUGAUAGGCCGAGAUGGUACAGCAGUUCUUUUUUAAAGCGAAAAGCUGUUUAUUCUAGAGUUGUAAGAGUCAAGUCAGAAGUACUAAUAAGCUGCAUGUAAUUAUUGGCAUAUAGUGAAAAAUAUCACCACGAACAAUCAGGUAGACCAGCAAGUAUUUGGACUAACAAAGAAGAACAUAUGACGGAGUCUCACUCCGUUGCCAGCCUGGAGUGCAGUGGUGGGAUCUCGGCUCACUGCAACCUCCACCUGCCAGGUUCAAGCGAUUCUCCUGCCUCAGCCUCCCACGUAGCUGGGACUACAGAACAGCCCUCAUGCUUGCUGUGCACUAUGACCCGCCAGGUAUUGUCAACAUCCUUCUUAAGCAAAAUGUUAAGAGCUCUACUCAAGACAUGUGUGGAUGAGAGGCUGAAGACUUCCCUCUUGUGGGUUGACAAAACGGAGUCUCACUCCGUUGCCAGCCUGGAGUGCGUUGGUGUGAUCUCGGCUCACUGCAUCCUCCACGUCCCAGGUUCGAGCGAUUCUCCUGCCUCAACCUCCCACGUAGCUGGGACUACAGAUUCCACUUCUGCAAGGCUCCACAGAAGUCUCCAACCUUCAAAUCUUCAGUCUCCGAAAGCACCGAUUCCUGAAAGGAUGGCCUCAAAUGACCAAGUAUACGAGCCGUCUAUAUCCCUGCUCCUGAAAAACAAGCUAACUGGACUCUCCAUCACCUUCCCCCAGCACAGACGCACUACCAGCUACGCAGCUGAACUCCAUGACUGACUUGCCAUCCAAUCAUGCCCCUGACCCAGCCUACAUGAACAAGGGAAGGAAUAUCAGCGAAUUAGGAAAAGAGGCAGAGGUGAGGAGACCACCUGUCCUGGGCCACAGAGCUAUGUAGAGUUCAUCAAUCUCCAGCCCCUUAGUAUUCCAGGGGCUCUAAACCACCUUCUGUAAGUCAGGAUGGAAGUAGAUGGUGCCACGAAGAUUUCUCUCUGCUGUAGCCACUCCUUCAGUGUCUCAAAAUGUUUUAACAUCUUUCAGUAAAAAUCUGUCAGUCCUUGAUAAAUUAAAAAAAAAAAAGGCAGCAAAGUUUUUAGAGCUCCCUUGAACCUUCUAUUUUAAGGCGCCUUUGUAGAUAAUUCCCAACAUUCUGUGUGUCGGUCAUCUUUGGAAUUUAUCGAUCGAUCAUUGUUUCUCUUCAAACUUGGCCUUGCCCUGCCCAUUCCAUUCUUACCCGCUUUCAUUGGCUUCACUAGUCAAUUCCACACUCAUUCUAGACACUGGGUGCACGAGACUCACUCCCGUUUGUAUUACCAAAACUCAGGCCAAUAGGAUAUAAAAAGUAGGAAGAAUACUGGGAUUUAACAUGAGUACAAAUCUCAUUUCUUCCAAUUCCUAUGUCUUCUUGAAUCCUAAUCUUUCUGAGACUCAAGUUUUCUAUCUAAACGAUCCCUUGACCAGAAUGUUCAACAGACGUGACAAUACUAGAACGUGUUUUAAUUCAUUCUAAGAUUCCUUAAAAUUCUGUAAUUCUAUGUGCUUCUGAUUCUGGGAAUACAUAGCCAGCAGAAUUUGAAAAACGAAUAGAAUUAAAGAAAUAACAAAGACAAAAAAAAAAAAAAAAAAAAAA